AUUGAACGCUGGCGGCAUGCCUUACACAUGCAAGUCGAACGGCAGCACGGGGCAACCUGGUGGCGAGUGGCGAACGGGUGAGUAAUGCAUCGGAACGUACCUUUCAGUGGGGGAUAACGUAGCGAAAGUUACGCUAAUACCGCAUAUUCUGUGAGCAGGAAAGCAGGGGAUCGCAAGACCUUGCGCUGAUUGAGCGGCCGAUGUCAGAUUAGCUAGUUGGUGAGGUAAAGGCUCACCAAGGCGACGAUCUGUAGCGGGUCUGAGAGGAUGAUCAGCCACACGGGAACUGAGACACGGUCCAGACUCCUACGGGAGGCAGCAGUGGGGAAUUUUGGACAAGGGGGGCAACCCUGAUCCAGCCAUGCCGCGUGAGUGAAGAAGGCCUUCGGGUUGUAAAGCUCUUUCGGCCGGGAAGAAAUCGCACGGGCUAAUACCCUGUGUGGAUGACGGUACCGGAAUAAGAAGCACCGGCUAACUACGUGCCAGCCGCCGCAGUAAAAC
rnacentral:rRNA from 1 species